rnacentral:rRNA from 1 species
CCCUUAGAUGUUCUGGGCCGCACGCGCGCUACACUGACGAAUGCAACGAGCUUAUAACCUUGGCCGAAAGGUCUGGGUAAUCUCCAAAUUUCGUCGUGAUGGGGAUAGAUUAUUGCAAUUAUUAAUCUUCAACGAGGAAUGCCUAGUAAACGCAAGUCAUCAGCUUGCAUUGAUUACGUCCCUGCCCUUUGUACACACCGCCCGUCGCACCUACCGAUUGAAUGGUCCGGUGAAAUCUCGGGACGGCGGCUCGGUCGCUUGCGUCCGACUGCUGAAACUUGAUUAAACCAUAUCAUUUAGAGGAAGGUGAAGUCGUAACA